AUUUUAACCUAGCCUCUUCUCUCUAUGCUCCCGCCCACUGAGCCUCUCCUCUCUACGCCAAUGGAACCUCCUGCCCUUUCAUUCAACUACGUUGGAGACGUCAAUUCCGAAAACCUUAACGCCUGCAACGAUGAAACGUUUACCCCCAUCCUUUACCCGAGACGAAAUGGAAGACGAUGAGUUCGACGGCGGCAACUUCGAGGUUGGGGACGACAUGGGUACGAAUUUUCCACCUUACUCUUCUUCCAGCCGAAGCAUUUGAGUUUGUAGCUUAACAUUCUGUUGGAAAUUUUUUUCUACAUUUCUUUAAUUUUUCGGAGGAUAGCCUCUUCAGUUCAACAUGCACUUCUCAAUCCCAAUAUUAAGGCCUUGGUUGAUAUGAUUUUGAUUUAGCUCCAUUUUAUCACCUUUUAAUGAGUUGUUAUAGCUGGGAAGUCCUCCUUUCACUAACUACUCGACAAUUUAACAUAGUUGGCUACAUUAGUUAAGGAUACAAUGUGUAACUUGACUUUUCCCCAAUCUCCAGAGAAUGGCAGUCUCCAGAGAAUGGCAAGCUUGCUGCCAACAGCCUGCUUCACCGUCCCAGAAAGUGAAUCAUUUUCUCAAGACCGUAUGCGAGGAUUCUUAUCAGUUACGAUGGUUGGAUCAGUACUCCUUACCAAGUGAGAUAUGAGCAAAUGUGCAACGCAUUUACCAAGUUAGCUGAUAUGGUAGCACAUGACGAAUCACGGUCGAAGGAUAUUAUUGAUUGGAUUGAAUAUCAAACUAUUGAGCCAUCCACGUUGAAGUCUAGGAGAGAGGUUUCCAUAGGCUUAGAUGGAGCAGCCCAAUGUACUAGUGGAGCCAUCCUUGACUCGAAAUACUCAAGAAGCAAAGGAGCUCCAAAGAAACUUCGCCGAAAGGGACAUUUUGAAACUAGUUCAAAGAAGUCAAAAACUUCUCAAAAGGUUUAAUUUUUUUCUGUUUUUCAAUGUUGAUGGUUGGUACUGUGUAGUCGUGGAGUCGUUCUUUUUUUUUUUCAAACCGCGCAAGGGCCAACAAAGUCAACUUUAUUGAGAAGGCAUAAAGAAAAUGAUUCCACUACAUUCAUUGAUCAGGUAAAUGAGCUUUACAUUGAAUGAUAGCAACUUGUUCGAGAUGCUUGUCUUUGACAUUACCUAUUUCAUUUUGUAGGAUGUCCAUGUACAAAACACCCCUCAUCACAGCCUUCCUCAAGUCGGCACACAAGAGAGCGUGGUUGGUUAUGAUUUUGAGGUCUAAAAUAGAUUCAAAAGGAUAUAUUUUGUUGGAUAAUUCUUUUGUUAAGCCGUUGUAUAUGGAGUAGUUUUUGUAAGCUUCAGUGCAAUAGUUUUUGUGCAUGUAAGCUUAGUAGUUUUUGUCUAGUGAUAUGGGCGUUCUCAGCAUUUGAAGCAAUGGAGCUUGAUUCUAUCGGAUUUUCUAGUGAUAUGGGAGAAAUUUGAAGUGAAGCCUGGAUAUAAUUUCAGAAAUUUGAAGUGAUGCCUCGAUGUAAUUGUCUCAUUUAUUGAUGAAGUGGGUUUUUUUCUUUCCAUAUUUUUCUGUUUCUAGUAAUGAUUUUGGGGAGAACAAUGUUUUGGUUUCAGUUCUAAUAUGUUACAGCAGAUGGUAGCCUUUCACUCAUUUCAUA
rnacentral:lncRNA from 1 species